UACGUAGGGGGCAAGCGUUGUCCGGAAUCAUUGGGCGUAAAGAGCGUGUAGGCGGCCCGGUAAGUCCGCUGUGAAAGUCCAGGGCUCAACCCUGGGAUGCCGGUGGAUACUGUCGGGCUCGAGUCCGGAAGAGGAGUGUGGAAUUCCUGGUGUAGCGGUGAAAUGCGUAGAUAUCGGGAGGAACACCGGUGGCGAAGGCGGCCCCCUGGUUGGAUACUGACGCUGAGACGCGAAAGCGUGGGGAGCAAACAGG
rnacentral:rRNA from 1 species